rnacentral:rRNA from 1 species
UUUUGGACAAUGGGCGCAACCCUGAUCCAGCCAUGCCGCGUGAGUGAAGAAGGCCUUCGGGUUGUAAAGCUCUUUCGGCGAAGACGAAACGGUUAGUGCUAAUAACACUGACUAAUGACGGUACUCACAGAAGAAGCACCGGCUAACUACGUGCCAGCAGCCGCGGUAAUACGUAGGGUGCAGGCGUUAAUCGGAAUUACUGGGCGUAAAGCGUGCGCAGGCGGUUCGCUAAGACAGGUGUGAAAUCCCCGGGCUUAACCUGGGAAUUGCGCUUGUAACUGGCAAGCUAGAGUGUGGCAGAGGGGGGUGGAAUUCCACGUGUAGCAGUGAAAUGCGUAGAUAUGUGGAGGAACACCGAUGGCGAAGGCAGCCCCCUGGGUUAACACUGACGCUCAUGCACGAAA